GCCGCUAAGCCUGGGAGGCUGGAUGAAGGAAGCAGCAAAGCCCAGUCUCACUGUAAAGGGGAGGGGGUACCCCUCAACAGAAGGACUCUUCCACUCACACUGGAACGCCAGAGAAGCUGGGGUCUGAUGACCGAGAAGGGUUAAUGGUGGUCCGCUUUCUCUCAGAUCUCUUCCGGUCUACACCACCAGAAACCUGGGGAAAGCUCUACAUUUUACCUGCUUCUGCUUCUGCUACAUAAACUCUGCUUAUUUAUACACAACUGCAAAGUUAGAAAGCCAGUAAGUCAAACCAAGAGCUAAAGAACAUCCUCAGCCCGGUGCCAGCUUCCUUCCAACUAUGUACUGAGAUAUCUAAGAACCAUGCUCUAUUCUUUUCUCCUCUGCUGUCCAGUCACAAGGGUCCUUCUGUGUGACCACAGGUUUUAUGGUCAAGUGGCAGAGCUUCUUGCCAUACAUGCUAGAUGCACCGGAGAGUUCUUUCUUGGUCUUGGUCCACGUCCCAUAGUAAGUGGAUGGAAGCAUGAAGGCCAAGUUUGGAAGAAGAUGCCCUAGAACCCAAAGGAGCUGACUGGUUGUUGAUCAUUCUCAGUGAAUAAAGAGUGAAAAA